GAAAUGCGAUAAGUAAUGUGAAUUGCAGAAUUCCGUGAAUCAUCGAAUCUUUGAACGCACAUUGCGCCCGCCAGUACUCUGGCGGGCAUGCCUGUUCGAGCGUCAUUUCGACCAUCGAGCCCCCGGGCUCGCGUUGGGGAUCUGCGGCCGCGCGCAGGCCCCGAAAACCAGUGGCGGGCUCGCCGUCACCCCGAGCGUAGUAGCGUCCGUUUCUCGCUCCGGGGCGUGGCGCGGGACCCGGCCGUUAAAUUAUAUAUAUACCCAGGUUGACCUCGGAUCAGGUAGGAAUACCCGCUGAACUUAA
rnacentral:misc_RNA from 1 species